AGAAUUUUCCUAGCUUCAAAGAGGUAUAUAAAGGAGAUGCCUGGACUGCCCAAGACAUAUUUGCUUAUCUCCUGCAGUGAGUUCAGCAAGUGAUCCUUCAAAAUGAACUACUUGGUCUUUGCCCUUUUUGUCAUCUUCGCCAUUGUGGCACUCACCACAGCCCAAGUGGUAUACCAUGGGGCAUAUUAUAACCCCGCAGUAUACCCAUAUGCCUACAACUAUGGUGUAGCCCCUCUGACUUAUUUGUGGAAGAAAUGAACGCAUCUACAUUCAGGUUCUGAACUGGACUGAUUUUCGCCUGGCAAACAACACCUGAUUUGGAUGACGCUCGGAUCAUUUUCUCCCUAUUCCUGUUUCCUUGUCAACUAUCAAAUUCUUUGUCAUAUUUCUAAGCUGUUGACUUUUAUAUGUUAAUAAAUCCAAAAAAAUUGCCCAAAA